rnacentral:lncRNA from 1 species
GAAAACCCUCGCCACUCAUGAAGAACUGAGGCAAAAGGAUCACAGAUGCUGCUCGGGGCCAGCCCUAUACUCCCUCCAGUGCCUGGUCUCCGGUGGACCCGCGGGGCUCUGCAGUUCUCUGGCGGCCGCGCCUUGUAAGCGCUAAGCCGGGAGGAGGGCGCAGGCAGGGCGCACAGCUCUGAGCGCGACCCUACCCGGCUCGGGCCCGCAGCAACCCCGACUGUCCGAGAGCCUCUCCCCAAGCAAGGCUCUGCGCCGCCCUCUGAGCCCACCUCCUGGCCACAACGCUGCCUGCGCUUCUCCAGCCCAGGCCGGAAGCCCUAUGCUGCCUCCCGAAGCCCUCCCUGAUCUGGGGUGGGUAAAGCGAGGGCUCGGAAUGGAGCCCAGGGCACUUCCAGAGUGGGUGGGAUGCUGAGCACCGCCUGCACUCCGAUACUCUCAGAGCCACAAAACCCUAGGGGAUUGGCUUGUAGGGCCUCUAGAUCUCUUCUCUCUCUCUCUCUCUCUCUCUCUCUCUCUCUCUCUCUCUCUCUCCUCUCAGACUCAAGGACUGGGGACUUGGUGGAUCUAUGGCAUUGGUACCCACAGAGGUCACCUGCACAGAUAAAUCUGUCGCCACCCUUCAACCCUGGCCUACCGGAUCUGCGGGGAGAAAUGCAGCAUUUGAAUUGGGGAGUGUUCAGUCCUGCUCUGCGGGGCAUUUAUUUACAAAUAUCAGCUGCAACCCAGCCUUGAUAACGUCUCAUACAGUCAGAGGACUUUGCGGGAAGCACACUUCCUCCUUGUUUGGGGCUACAGGGAAAGCCCAGGAAAGCGAGUCCCAGAAGGCCUGGGACAGCUACACCCAGUUCACCCAUGCUCAACCCGGAACAGCCGACCCAAACGGUCAGGAAGGUUUGUCCUGGGGGCAACGCCUCUUCCGGGCUCUAGGACAUUGGAAGACAGAGAGAUUGCUGGGUAGCGGGUGGUCUGGGCCUCCCCGCAAGCUGCAAACGAAGGAGCUUGGAGCAGACCGCCAGGGAGGGCGCAGGGGAGCGCAGUACUCAGGCGGAGAGGCCCCGAAGCCCUUCAGGGACUCCGAUUACUUUCCUUUGAACAACAACAACAACAACAACAAAAACAACAACAACAACUGCUCCCUCCCCCUUAUAUCCCCUCCCUUUUUUAGCCUCCGGGCACCAGGCUUCCACGUAAUUGUCCUUCUGGACAGUAAACACAGCUCAGUUGCCUCAACUUUCCUGGUGCAUAAAAGUUCCCGGCGUGAGGGGAAAUUUGAAUAUUUGAUCAGCCCCUUUGAGUGACCCUCAUUAGCCUGGCGCCCUGCUAAGGCCCCACCAUUGCAAAAAAGCUGCUGGGCCCGGCAUUUGUACGCCUUGUUAGCGCUGCUUAAUGAAGCCGCCCCGACGGCUCAAAGGCGGCCUCUGGGGCCGGCAGCGCGCACCUCUCGGCACCCCGCUCUGCCUAAUGAGCCCCGCCGCCCGCUAAAGGCCCUUCCACCCCCCACAUCCUCAAACAAGAGGGGUUUGGCUCCGUCUAGGACCUGAACACCUCCCACCACCGGGCCCAGGAGGGUGGGCACAAACCCAGUCUAGCUGGCUACACGGUGAUCUAGCCCCUGGAGAAAGAAGCCAGCUACUUGGAGUAUGCAAGCUAAAAAUGGUUGUGUGAGUGGGAAAGUAGGGAAGUGGAUUUUACAGCCACUAGGUCUAGCUCACCCGUGGGUACCACGAACUUUCCCCCACAGGGCCAGCUGUAAAUCAAUUAACCAGCCCAGCUCCUUAAAGGUGCAUCUGGACUAGUGUUAGAACGUCAGAAGGGCUGGUACACAGGGGAGGGUCAGCUUUCCACUCCCCCCUCAAAUUCCUUUGCUCUGGUCUCCCCAGGAGGCCUGGCACUUCUCCCCAGGUGGCCUCACACUUUCUGGAAGGUCAACCUUCCAGGCAACUAGAACUCUAGGCCUGUAUUUGAGAAAGGAUGGGCAGGUUCAGUUCACACCCCUCGGAGAAUGACUUCCAGUUUCACACAAUCCCAUCCCUGGUCUCUCUUCCAUUGCGUUUAUAGCCAUGGAGAGGUCUGAAGAAGUUAGCCCAGGAAAGACCACGCUCCUUAGGCAAGACUGGGACCCCAAAAAAACCUGGACGAGAGGGGGAAAAUCCUAGGAAAAGGGAGUGGAGACAGCCACCCACUAGGACAAGCAUCUACUCCUUCUCUCCUCUUCUUGGGCCAAGGAACACAGCUAACUAGUUAAUAUAAGAAACCAUUAGAAACUGCACUUCACUCCUCAGGAAGAGUUGACAUCUCUCACUGCCCUCUCGCCUCCAUUGUUCUUUCUCCUGGACAGUUGGAACUCAAGGUCCCCUUUCACUCCCUUCUUGAGUACCCCUAGCACUUGCUGGGUUGGUGGAGCAGGGAACUCUCGGUUCUCCACUCAGGACUUUCUGGAAGCCCAUCUUCGUAUGCUCACCAGCCCACCCUCCUACGCUGGUCAGAGUGAGAUUGCUAACCUCAAGACCCCAUUCAAUGCCAGCUUUCAACUACUGCUGAAGACCAAUGUAGGUCCUGGAAUAGAAGAACUGCAGAGUGUAAGUCUAUUUGACCGGCCCCUCCUCCCUUCCCUCCUUCCAUUCGGCUCCACUCCCGAGCCCAGCCCCCUUUCCAUUCAAUGACCCCCUAAACUAAACCCAAGCAUAAACUCCAGGAUCAUCUCUGAGCCGGACCACAGUAGUGCCCAGGUCACGAUCCGUUCUAAGGGCAAAAGCAGCGGCAGAAAAGUCAGGGGCGGGUGCUCUAGGAGAGAGGGAGACCUGAAACGGAGGGUAGGAUUCAGUUCCGAGCCCACCGGCUGCUGAGGGGAGGAGGCGAAAGGAGGGGGUUGGGAGUCCACGGGCAUUGGGUCGGGGCAGCAGGGACUUCAGGCGACGGCGUGGGGGGCUAGAUCCGGAGGAGAGGGGAGGGGUGGCGGGGGUCGGAGGAGCACGCAGGGCGGAGGGGUGUGGGGCUCUUUAAGAGCCACACGGCUAGCAGGAGAGGCGUGCGGCCCUGUGCUGGUAGCGCACUGACCCCGAAGGGGAUUUAGCGGGAAGGGAGCGACCGGGUUCUGGGGGCUUUGUCCGGGGGCGCCCAGAAAGGCCGAGGCACAAGAAUAAGAAGCGGCUGCAGCGUGAAAGGCUGCGAGGAGCGGCGGCGCUGCUGCUCUUGACUUCUGAGCAGGGCUUAGAAGGCCUGCCCCGGCUUAAGUUGAACUGAGGGUGCUGAGUCCUGAGCGCCGAGUUCAGGAGCCCUGAGUCCUGGCCUCUAGGCUGAGGAGGCGUGGGAUAGGGGCGGACGCUGGAGUAGUGGGUCUUCUUGCGACAACCCCCUCUUGGAUCUUACAGCCUUGCUACCCUAGCGCAAGGUUGUUAGCCUAGCUUGCCGCGUCUGGCAUAGCCAAAGAAAUUUACUUUCCCAGCUUGGCUUUUGCUUUUGUGUGUCCACCUCGAGCAGAUCCGGAGCUGGCCGACCCCAGACUGAUUCUCAACAGGUGGCUGGGUAGUGCCCCCCACCCUGUGUUGGUCGUGCGGGACCCAUCGCACACAGAGAAGCCACCUUACCCCUCACCUCACCCCGUCGGCCAAAGACUGACCACCCGCGCCCGAGUGUGGGGAGGGGUGGGAAUUCCGGAUCACACACACACACACACACACACACACACACCAGGGUAGGGGAACAGGGAAGAUCUUACCUGCAGAAAGGUAAGAGAAGCCGGGAGCGUGUAGCAGCGGCGGAUAAAUAUUCAUUAGGAAGUGUAAGUCCUUUCAAAGGGCUCCGCGCGCGCGCUCUAGCUCCUGUCUCUCUUUCUCUCCCUCCCUCUGUCCUCCAGGAAGGCUUCCCCUCCUCUAGCUAUCUCAACGCCCCCCCCCCCUUCCUGCGAAAUACCGGGUGGAUCCUAGGCUAGCUAACCUGUUGGGAAGCCUGAACUGCGGUAGCGCCUCUGCAGCUAGCAGUUUGCUUUCGCUCCUGGGGCGCGCGUCCCCCCCCAUCCCCUCCCCUCCUUCCUUUCGCCCAGCCCCUCACCCCUCCUAAAUCACUACAUCAUUAGCUUUAUUGGGCGGGGGGGGGGCGGGUAACGGAGCAGCCAGACGCACCUCUCCAUAGAAGGGUGAAUAGUUGGUGCCCUGCGAUGCAACCCCAACUCCAUCUCCACCUCAUUCUCACCCAUCUGCACAUCCUCAUCCAAUCUUGCUUCUUUUUCUUCGCUCUUUCCACCUCCACCUCCAUCCUGUGUCAACCUAACUCCCUCAGCAGCCCUCCCACCCGCCGCCGCCAAUCCGGAUCACAGAUUGGGUUGGGAGUGAGAUUGCAAGGCUGUUAGGUCCGAAGGUCCUGUGUGUCGAGGUUAGAACUCCUCCCUGGCGUGAGUACGGGGUGGUUAUCAAGAUCUCCUUCUCCUUCCUGACCCUGCAAGGUUACCAAACAGCCUGGACUUUUGAAUCAGAUCUCUGGAGCAAGCAUUAAGAACUCCAGCCACACAGAUCUCAGGGCCUGGCCCUUUCACUCAGCCGCGGAGGCUGCUUGAGGGAUGGGGAGAGGUGAUUUCACUCAGCGCCAACGCGCAGGAAAAACUCAUAGACGACAGUCGGACUAAUACUCGUCCCUUAAGAAUGCACUACCUGAAGUUAGUCGCAAGUCAUCUUCAAUCGAGGAAAGGAAAAAAAAAAUCCUCACAUCUAGAAGCUUCGCCGAAGCCACUUCCAACAGCACGCGAACAUGUUCGCGCACACCCUUCUCUGUGCACGCCCCAAAGCCUGCUCUCUCGCGGGCAGGUGAAAAUACAGGCUGCCCAGGCCAGAGGAGAGAAGGCGGCGGAGGAAUACAUCGCUUAGGGUUGUUGAGAAACUAGGAAUAACUGUUUUCAAUACUCUGCUCUGCUACCAGGACCUUAGGUCCCUCUUGGGACCCUGAAAAGUGGCUUUGCCCCACGAUGGGGGGUGGGGGGGCAGUGACUCUAGCUCUGGCCCUCCUACUGGGAGCUUAAAGUUGGGGUGAAGGGUUUAAGGAGGAGCCGAGGGGGCGGGCCCUGUUAGUUUGCAGUUGUAAGUGCAGCUGUGCCUGGGACACCAAGAAGGAGAGUCUCGCCCCCUAAUGCUCACGGUGCUUGCUUAGAGGACCCCCGAGGUUAACUACCGGAGCUUCUGCUCUCUCCUGAGCCCCAGGCCAACACAGGACGAUGGUGGCCGGGAUGCCAGCCGGGAUGCCUAAACACAGUAAGACUUCAGUUGCCUCUCAUUUGGCUGUUCAGAGCUAAUGUCUACCAGAGGAGGUUUUAGAAGUGGGUCGCACCCGUCCUGAAUCCAUCCUGUGAGGUGGCAGAGGGUCAGAGGGUCACUCCUUCUUGUUAAAGGUUAGCAUAAUAAGUAUUAUUAUUACUAGGGUAGAGGAAGAUGUGGAGGAAAAAAAAAGCCUAGGGUGCCUAGGACACUAACCAACCUUACAGCUUACCCAAAGUCCAGAACCUCCCAUUGUACACCUUCUCUCCCCAACACAGAUCCCUAAGGUCUCCUCUUCAUCUGGCAUGUGUGUUCACAGAAGGUACAGUGUGCGAGAACACACUUAGGAAAUUUUAGGAACGCUAACCACAGUACUGGAGGAAUAAAGAUGUGUCGAAGGAAUGGAUGGAAUGCAUGAACACAUACACCUUGUUGUCCAGAUGCAGACAAAAGCUACCAUGUCCGCUUGGAGUGACGCCCAGACACGCACAGAGAUGUACAGGAAGCCAAGGAGAGUGGGAUCCACCAGAGUACAGUACAAGUACAGAGUACAGUGCAAGAUGCCCAGUGGCCCUGGAGAAAAACCUUCGUUGACUCUUCUGUAUGGAAAGUUUCUGAAGAAAGGGCCAAGGAAUGAUCUGCCCCAGAGGCUGCCUUUAGGCUCCCAUACCUGCUCUGUUUGGAGACACCCAGAAGAGGCCAGUACAGCAAAGACUCUUUUUGGUUUGGUUAUUUCUGUUGCUUGUUGUCUUUUUUUCAUCCUUUGCCUGGGAAAUUGUGCUCUGGAAUAGGGCUUGAGUAGACAGCACAGGCCUCCAGUAGAUAACAAGAGAUUCUCAAUCUCCAAUGAGGACAUUCCGUUCUAAGGAAGCUUCCAGAUAGGGGAAAGCCCUGUUUUGUCCCCCUUUUCUCCUCUGAGAUCUGAAAAAAUAGAAAGAAAAAAAAAGAAAAGCGUCAAUGCUCUAGAGAUGGGACCUCGCCUUCCAAGGUGUCUUCACUAUCACAGGGCCCGGGCUCUCUGCCUCAGCCCAACCCUGGGCUUGCGCUCAGAGAGGAGGUAUUCCGACGGAAAGGGGGCUGCGUAGAGGAUUCGGCAGUUUCUCGGCCACAAGGACGGAGUUUCCUAAGAAGGGAAAGAAGAGUGCGGGCAGAGAGGAGAGGUCCGAGGGGGAAAAGAGAGGCCUGAGGACGCUCUGGCGGCUCCAGUACCAAGCCUUGGUAUCUUUGGGAUUCUGGGGAGAGUGGAAGGGUUUACAAACUACACAUAAAUCGGUGAACUUGAACCACUGUGUAUCCCGAUUUUGCAUUGAGCCGGGCCCUGCGCACCCGGAAUGCUGAAGUGGCCAAGGGCAGAGAGGGGUGUAUUUGCAACUCGUGGUUUCUUCGGUUAAACAAACCCCAACCCGUAGCCUCAGCAACAACAACAAAAACUGCAAGUGCAGGAAGCAAAAUUAAACAUAAUUCCUUUUAUUUAUCUGUUGCAUUUAUAUCAUUAAAAUAUUUUUGGUUACGUUGUAUAGAAUAGCAUCCACUCUGAUUAUUACCUGCCAUAUCGGCUGUAUUCAACACAGCAAAAUUAACAAUUAAGAAAAUAAAGGCACAUCUUAUAUAUUGUGAUCAGAGGAGAAUCGCCAGGCUGAGGGGGAAGCAAGGAACAUAUGGACCCAAGUAGGAUCCUGAAAGAAUUUCGAGAAGCUCCGAGCCCAAAUCAUACAGGCCCUAAGUAUUGGUCAAUCACCAGGAGUGAAACAGAAACUUAGACCACACACUCAAGUCCUGUUUCUGAAUGAGGGGCUCAAGUGCUAGGCCACAAGUGGCCGCUAUGGAUGCUGCAUUGUGGAGUCCCACCUGAUCCCUCCUUCAACCACGCACCUCAGACUGCAAGGAGAGCUAGAUGAGAAGGAGCUGGGGCUCUUGCGAUCUGCAGAGGCAGCACGCUGGUCAGGAAGAACCCAGAACACCUGCCUCAGACACAGCCAGUCUGUCCACACACAAAAGGCAGGGCUGAGGGGCUAUUAAGUCAAACCUGGAGUCACAGCCCCAAUGUCCUCAGACAGUCCCCAACCCUCUGCAGCAAUGUGGACAUGUGUCAGUGUGGCUGAAAAGCUUCUUCUCUGAGCUUUAACAACUUUCUGGUGUAACUUCUGAGAGGGCUGAUUGCUUAUUCAUGUGGAAGCAAGACGCCCAGUCCGUUUUGCCUGUUUUUGCUACUCUUUGUUGUCUCGGGGGGAGUGUUAUGGUAGCUGCAAAUGGCUUCUCCCGUGACAUUUGCUGACAUUCAGUGAAGUACAUUUAUCAGCGCUCGCGAGCUCACCUCCGCACAUGCAAUCCAUUUUGUUUUGUUCUUCAUGGUAACCCCCUUCCCAACACCCGUGCCCUGAAAAUGAUGAAGGGCAGGCGGCGCAUUUCUCAAGCUGCACUCAAAUGUCACUGUGAAAAAUCUUUAAUGGACUAAGUGUAGCUUUUCACGUUACAACUUGUCAGGUACUGAGAAAUUCUAGAGUUUCUCCUUAAUCCACGAGUCAUUGGAACCACACAUCUGCAGGUAGAGACUAAUUAUAAGCUGUACCAGUCAGAACUGGGCAAGCAGAGACCAAGGAGAAAACAUUAGGUCUCAGUUAAUUCUUUAUUACUAUCAUUAUUAUUAUCAUUAUCAUUAUCAUUAUUAUUCUCAUUCCACUUUUUUGCUACUUCGUCUCCUACUCAGAGAAUAUGCCAGGUAUGAGCAAUCUGUUACUCUAAUUAAUUGAGUGACAGCCCCCAACUAGCUCUCCAUGCAGGCUUACCGUCUCUACGCACUCAGCUUUCUCAGUAACAUUUUUCAUCUUUCCCUCCAACGUAUCUGACUCUGAAUCAUAAUCCUGGUCCCUUAGGGUUGGCCAUGACGGAGCCGUUGAGAGGAACUGAGAUGUGUCCCAUCUCCUGUCCACCUAGUUAUCCCUCAUCGGAGGGCAUGGCAUUGGAGCCCAGAGAUUCACAUCACCAACGUGUAAGCCUGCAUUUUCCUCCCUUGCCCCGCACCUGGUCGGAGCAGUGCCACCCACACUCACAGUGGUGGCCUACAGACUCCCUCUAAGCCUUGCAUAGGGUUUGCUCGGUCUGGUUUUACCCCUUUGAAUGGACUCAGCUCAGUGGUUGUUCUUCAUGGGUGAAUCAGCCCACACUCUAAUGGCCAUGGCUUCUAUGUUCUGCCCCUGCUUCUCGGUUCACAGGCAGGAACCUCAUCACCCAUGUGUUACUGUUACGAUGGGUUCUCUGGAAUGCUGCUAGCUCAUUCAGGUGAAACCAUCAUCACCACCAUCAUCAUCAUCAUCACGAUCAUCAUAUUCUAUUUAUAUGAGCACACUGUAGCUGUCUUCAGACACACCAGAAGAGGGCAUUGGAUCCCAUUACGGGUAGUUGUGAGCACCAUUGCUCACAAUUGCUGGGAACUGAACUCAGGACCUCUGCAAGAGCAGUCAGUGCUCUUAACGGCUGAGCCAUCUCUCCAGCCCUGCAGGUGGAAUUUUAGGAGCAAGCUUCAGAGAGAUAUCUUGUUCCCUUCCACAAUGUAAACUAGAAAGUAGGAUCUCACAAACAUGGACUCUGCCAGGCUCGUGACCUUCAAACUCUAGAACUGUUCAGAAUAAAAUUCUGUUCCUUAUAAGGU